rnacentral:rRNA from 1 species
UACGGGGGGGGCAAGCGUUGUUCGGAAUUACUGGGCGUAAAGGGCCAGUAGGCGGCCAACUAAGUCGGAUGUGAAAUCCCCAGGCUUAACCUGGGAACUGCAUCCGAUACUGGAUGGCUUGAAUUCGGGAGAGGGAUGCAGAAUUCCAGGUGUAGCGGUGAAAUGCGUAGAUAUCUGGAGGAAUACCGGUGGCGAAGGCGGCAUCCUGGACCGACAUUGACGCUGAACGGCGAAAGCUA